rnacentral:rRNA from 1 species
UACGUAGGGCGCAAGCGUUGUCCGGAAUUAUUGGGCGUAAAGAGCUCGUAGGCGACCUGUUACGUCUGCUGUGAAAUCCCGGGGCUUAACCCCGGGCGUGCAGUGGAUACGGGCAGGCUGGAGGCAGGCAGGGGAGAACGGAAUUCCCGGUGUAGCGGUGAAAUGCGCAGAUAUCGGGAGGAACACCGGUGGCGAAGGCGGUUCUCUGGGCCUGUACUGACGCUGAGGAGCGAAAGCGUGGGGAGCGAACAGG